rnacentral:rRNA from 1 species
AGGGGAAUAUUGCACAAUGGAGGGAACUCUGAUGCAGCGACGCCGCGUGAGUGAUGAAGGAAUUCGUUUCGUAAAACUCUGUUCUAUGGGAAGAAAAGGACUGUACCAUAGGAGAAAGCUCCGGCUAAAUACGUGCCAGCAGCCGCGGUAAUACGUAUGGAGCGAGCGUUGUCCGGAAUUAUUGGGCGUAAAGGGUGCGCAGGCGGCUUUACAAGUUGGAUGUGAAAUAUUGUGGCUCAACCACAAACGUGCAUCCAAAACUGCAAAGCUAGAGUUAAGGAGAGGUAAGUGGAAUUCCUGGUGGAGCGGUGGAAUGCGUAGAUAUCAGGAGGAAUACCGGUGGCGAAGGCGACUUACUGGACUUAAACUGACGCUCAGGCACGAAAGCGUGGGGAGCAAACAGG